GUUUCUUUUCAAAUGCUUUAGGAGGGUUGAAGAGCUAUGAGAAUCCAAAGCAUAAGGUCACCGCUGUCUUAGCAAACGAAGAAGAGAUAUGUGGUGCUAUUUUCAAGGUGGAAGGAUCUGUAGUUCUUACAGCAACACAAUAGGGAACAUUGUUGCUGCCUACCACUACAGGCAUCUCCCAGCACAUAAAUAACAUGUUGUGUGCAUGAAGCGAGAUACAUUGUGAAAAUCAUGUAAAUUAUCGGGGAGAAUUUCUAGUACCAAGACUAUUACAUGUUUGUUUCUUAGAUUGGUGAUUUUCAGUAAGG
rnacentral:misc_RNA from 1 species